UAACCUAAAAGUACAUGUUAUUAUCCGC
rnacentral:sRNA from 1 species